ACCAUGGAGCCUAACAAAUAUACAAGUAUUUGGAUGGUAAACACAUAUAGGCAAUGAAAGAGAAUGUAGGUGGAAUAGUAGUUACAGGGGUAUCAUGGACCAAUCUUGAAUUAUGAUGGAUAUGAGUAAGUGUUUAUCUGUUGGGAUCUAAGCCAUGGCCAACUAUCCCUUAACAUGGUGAAGCCAGAGGAGACUCUGGUAGAGAUUUGUAGCACUUCUGACAUGCAGGUUGAUUGUUGAAUUUAUGUAUGGGGAUAAAAGACAAAUCAAACCAUCUGGCAGCUGGUUUCUGCAAAGCUUCCCAUUGAAUAGCAGAAACAAAUUUAGCAACCAUAUGAGGUAAAUCAUAUUAGUAGAGAACCCAGGGAUAUAAUAUUUAAUUUAUUCACAAACUUUGAAUAUAUAUGCAAUGCAUGUAACUUAAGUGGAUGUGGACUAUUUAAUGAGAGUUUCUAGUGGCCAUUUCUGACAAGAGGUACUGGCAAUGCUGGAUGAGCUAAGCAUGAGGUUCAGGUGCCAGAACACAUGCUCAUUUUAGACCAUAAAAGGUGUUUGUUCAUUGAGACUGCAUGACAGUGACCAUGGAAGUUUGAAUUUGCUAUGCAGUGGGCAUUGGCUUAGAUGCCAAAUGAGGUAGCUCUGAAAAUAGAUAGGGCUCAAGUAUUUUAUCUAUGCUUCACCAUCAAGGUAAAGCCCAGCCUUGACAUGUAGUCAGGCAUGGAGAUUGUGAAAAAGCUUUGGGAGUGAUCCCAAAUCUAAUGGCCUCUUGUGCAGAUCUUGAUGCUUGUGGCAAGUUUUUCAUUGGGCAACUGAAAUAUUGAAGUAGAUAAAGAUUCUGUGUGAGCAGCAGUUGGAUAUGGGUUAGCAGAUCUCUGAGAGAUAGGGAAGCACUAUUUUAGAGUGUGCAGCUCAAUACACUACUUACUGUAAGUGAACCAGGUUAAUAAAUUUGAACAAGUAAGUGGACUAUGUAUUAUGGCAAUGUAAAUGAACUCCAAGAUGCCUGCUCAUGCCCUGGAAAGAGUUUUCUUUUUGCUUAACAGCUUAUGGCCCUGAUAUUGAAUGUUUAUUGCUGGGGUUUGACAGUUGGUGUAGCAUUACAACUCUGUAGUUACUUGUGUGUGCGUGUUGGCCAUUGACAACUGAAGGGAAAGAAUCACUUUCAUGCCUGGUGGGCAUAAUUGCAUUAAGUCUCCAAGGCAAACAACCUCCAGUU
rnacentral:ncRNA from 1 species